AUUGAACGCUGGCGGCAUGCCUUACACAUGCAAGUCGAACGGUAGCACAGCAACAGCUUGUUCCUAGGGGCGGAGAGUGGAGGACGAGUGAGGAAUACACCCGAACGUACUUUUUCGCGGGGGAUAACGUUGGCAAAUACCCCCUACUAUCUCAUACGAACUACGGGUGAAAGUAGGGGCUCUUCGGAACUUGCGCGCUGGAAUGAGCCGAUGUCGGAUUAGCUAGUUGGCGGGGUAAAGGCCCACCAAGGCGACGAUCCGUAGCUGGUCUGAGAGGAUGAUCAGCCACACUGGAACUGAGACACGGUCCAGACUCCUACGGGAGGCAGCAGUGGGGAAUAUUGGACAAUGGGCGCAAGCCUGAUCCAGCCAUACCGCGUGGGUGAAGAAGGCCUUCGGGUUGUAAAGCCCUUUUGUUGGGAAAGAAAAGCAGCAGGUUAAUACCCCGCUGUUCUGACGGUACCCAAAGAAUAAGCACCGGCUAACUUCGUG
rnacentral:rRNA from 1 species